rnacentral:rRNA from 1 species
GACGAACGCUGGCGGCGUGCUUAACACAUGCAAGUCGAACGGAAAUUUAUUUCGGUAAAUUCUUAGUGGCGAACGGGUGAGUAACGCGUGGUCAACCUGCCCUUCAGAUGGGGACAACAUCCCGAAAGGGGUGCUAAUACCGAAUACGAUCCUUUUUCCGCAUGGAGAUGAGCUGAAAGAUGGCCUCUAUUUAUAAGCUAUCGCUGAAGGAUGGGCCUGCGUCUGAUUAGCUAGUUGGUGGGGUAACGGCCUACCAAGGCGAUGAUCAGUAGCCGGUCUGAGAGGAUGAACGGCCACAUUGGGACUGAGACACGGCCCAAACUCCUACGGGAGGCAGCAGUGGGGAAUAUUCCGCAAUGGACGAAAGUCUGACGGAGCAACGCCGCGUGAGUGAUGAAGGUUUUCGGACUGUAAAACUCUGUUGUUUAGGACGAAAGUGCCUGUUGCAAAUAGUUGCAGGUAUUGACGGUACUGAACGAGGAAGCCACGGCUAACUACGUGCCAGCAGCCGCGGUAACAC